UGGGGUAGUGGCUCCAAACUAACGUGUUGGUAAAUUCUGUUUUCCAUGGAUUAUCUUCACUGAGAAUUGUCUUAUUGACAUAAUAUAAGACAAUGGACCUUUCAUCCAUGAGAAUCUCAUGUUUUCAAGCUACACAUAGAAUUGUUGUAUAUGAUAAAAUCCAUAGUUGACUUAGUGAAAGGAGUAUUUUGAAAACAAAACAAGACACCAUGGAAAAGUGUUUUCUGUUCUGAGGUGUCAGGAAUUUCAUACAAGAGGCUAGUGUGGGAUUUAUUUUUUCUGUAUACAAUAAUAUUUUGCAUGCAUUUCUUCCUCCUUCCUUCCAGCACAUACUAACCUUACCAUUGCCAGUAUUUCUCAUCAGGGAGUUAACAUGCAGGCUGGGUAUUAGGAAGUAAUUAGGUUUCUUUAUGUAUUCUUAAUUAAUUUUUUAUUUUAUUUUUUAGUGUAGGUACUGGAGAUUGAACCCAGGACCUUGAGCAUGCUGAGCUGUACCCUCCCCGCAGCUGUUAGGAGGAAGGCAGGCGGUGCAGAUCCUGGCUCUGGUGGGAACACGGACCAGGCGAGAGGCAGGCUGAGUGUGAGUGACGCCCAUUCUGCAGGCGCCGCCUCCGCCCUGCUCUCCCAUGGCUGCCACGCGGAAGUGCGGGCCCAGACUUGCUUGGUCGCCUGGUUUCUGAGGGUAGCUGGCUAUCAGCAUCUUCAUGUGAAGUCUUCUGAGUCUUCUGAGUUUUUAAUAUUGGCAACCCAUUCAGAUUAAAAAAAGCAAACACCAUGAAGACCUAAUAAAUUGCUUCAGUAGCCAGAUUCAGCCCAUGAGGCGCCACUUUUCAACCCAGUAUUAUGAAAAGUUGAUUCAUUUCAUGGAGCGCAAAAUCUCAUGUCUUUCUUUCUGAAAAGUGACUGAGUAGGUAACGUACCAGUCAGAAAUGUCCAAGUGGGAGGAAGGGCAGCAGCUUGCGCACAGGCAUCAUCCUACCCAGAAAUGCCUUAGGAGAGUCAUCUCCUCCCACCUAAAAUCACCUAAAAUCAUGUCACAGCCAUAGGUCGUCUCAGCUGUGCUGUAAGCAGUUUAUUUCCCCUAACUUUGGCACUGAUUACUAAGUUUGAAGAUUAAUACCAGAGAAUUGCAUAAAUGUCAGUUUCCUGAUGGUUGGUUUCAUUUAUUUAUUAAGACUUCAUUCUCUGUAAUACAAACCACCCCAGAUUAGGCCUCAUGUUUAUAGGUUCUGCCAGAAUCGGUCAUGCCAUUAGUGAAAGCUGGCCUUUGUUGUUUCAAAUGCUUAAAAACACCAUGGAAAUUAUUAACUCCAAGAGCCUCAGAGGGGCCCUGGCAGCAGGCCACAGCUCAUUCCUUCCUUCAACUCUUGUGUUUAGACCAUUAAAGCAGGAAUUUAAUUAAUUUUUUGAUUAAGCAAAAUCAUUACAGAUAAUAUUCAGGUAGGUUGUAAAGUGAGAAAGGGCUCUUUACUGAAACUUGCCCUAUUUAAGAUCAGAAAGUUGAAGGGAUUAGCACCAAGGGGUGGGAUUUUUCAGGUUCGGAUCAGAUUUGAAUCUACCCCCAAAUGGUAAUCGACGCCAGAGUCAUCAUUAUGAGAAGGCUGGUUGGGCCUUUGGAAUUCGUCACUGUUGUCAGGCAGGAAGGUGAUUCCAUUUCACAGUAAUUGAAGGUCGGAUAGGAUUCUUUCCCACCCCUGGGUCUGGGCCACAGUUGACAAGCUCCUUGUUUUCUUUGCUGAGGAAAUGGAAGAGCCAUCAGCGCAACCCUCUUCCAGCACGUCAAUUUGGCACCUCAACAGGGUAACAUUAGAAGCUCUGAAUCAACACUUAGCGGGAAAGUGAAACCAGCUAGCAGUCAGUCCAGGGAACUGAGAUAAGCCCUUCCUUAUCUGGUGGCCCUGAUAAAAGCUUCACCUGCGUUUAGUUUGAUGCCUGUGAAGAAGGGCCCUUUGUGGUAGCUUUUUUGGAAGCCCACAGUUUUUCUCUGCUCCAGACACUUGCCAAAUAAAAUUUUAUUUAUUUACUUUUCAAUGGCAUGGAAGGAUGCCCCUUUAACCUCUUUUGUUAUCUUCUUUAAAAGAAAGUUUAGCAUCCUGUGAAGAGAGAGCUGGAAUGAGAUGAUCUGGGAUGUUUCCCUGCUUCUCCGCCUACUUACCUUGCGCCCUUUAGGCAAGUAACGUCCUCUCAGGGAUGGAGUUACUGGGACAUGGCCUACUGUGUGUAUAACGUUUUAAGGAACUAACCAAAUGGCUCUACAAAGUAGAUGUGCAGUUUUACAGCUUCACCAGCAGUUUAUGAAGGUUCCAGUUUCUCCACAUCCUUCUCAACACUGAUUCCACAUAUGAGCGAUGUCAUAUGGUAUUUUUCUUUCUCUUUCUGGCUUACUUCAUUUAGAAUGACAUUCUCCAGGAACAUCCAUGUUGCUGCAAAUGGCGGUCAGUUUUUAUGGCUGAAUAGUAUUCCAUUGUAUAAAUAUACCACAUCUUCUUUAUCCAGUCAUCUGUUGAUGGACAUUUAGGCUGCUUCCAUGUCUUGGCUAUUGUAAAUAGUGCUGCUAUGAACACUGAGGUGCAGGUGUCUUUUUGAAGUAGGGUUCCUUCUGGAUAUAUGCCUAGGAGUGGGAUUCCUGGGUCAUAUGAUAAGUCUAUUCCUAGUCUUUUGAGGAAUCUCUGUACUGUUUUCCAUAGUGGCUGCACCAAACUGCAUUCCCACCGGCAGUGUAGGAGGGUUCCCUUUUCUCCACAGCCUCUCCAGCAUUUGUCAUUUGUGGACUUUUGAAUGAUGGGAGAAAGGCCAUUUUAAAAUGAGGGAUACAAGCUGCAUCAAAAAAAGCAGGACUGCUUCAGAGGAAUCAAAGUUAGAGAGGAAGGUUGGCAGGGAGGAAUGAUUAGUGUGGGGGAAAAUCUGUUCUGUUUUAGAUGUUGCACAUUUGUAGCUUGGGGCACUUUUCUGUGUACUCUAGUAUCACCUAUUCACAUGGAGCCAUUCCUGAUAAUGUUAUGUGAACACGCAAACCCUAACAUACUUAUUAUUUUAACAGCUUUGGUGAGCUGUAAUUCACACACCAUACAUUUCUUUCACUUGCAGGGUACAACUAUCCUACUUAGGGUAUCAGACAGGAAUAGAGUGUUAUCUAUAUAGUAUGGGUCCCUGUAACUUUUUUUUUUAGUUUUUUUUUAAUGGGGGGAGGUAAUUAGGUUUAUAUUUAUUUAUUUUUGUAAUGUAGGCACUGGGAAUUGAACCCAGGACCUCAUGCAUUCUAGGCAUGCAUUCAACCACUGAGCUGUACCCUCCCCACUUGGGUCCCUGUACUUUUAAAGUGCAGAAUCUCCUGGUGGUAGAGUUUAAAUGUACUAGAAAAGAAAUUAUAGGGCCUAAGAAAUAAUAAGGCCUAAAGUAAUUACUUUAGCUUUGAAAAAGUCUAAUAAACUUCCACAGUAAGUUUGUUUUUGCAACAUCCUUGCUUUGAGGAGGGAAGUUAGAGGUCUUUGCCUCUCCAGAAGUUUAAAUAGAAUUACAAAACUUCCACUCCCUUUGGUGAUGCUCAUAGGGUUAUUUUCAUGUUGUUAAUAAAAGAAGUGAGGCUCUUUGAUGUUUUGAAGCAUAACCUCACAAGCCUUGGAGUACAGCCAAAUAUAUAGCAAAAAUUUUAUAGUUUGUUUCUUUUUAUGAUUUUUGCUUAUAUACAUGGAAGUCAUUCUCAUGGUUAAAUUUUUCACUAUUGGUGGUAAUUAUUAGGGUUUUACCAGGUGAUAAUUAAUCAUGCCCUUUUCCUUGAUUCGUGUUUAGAAACAAGUGAGAAAUAAAACGCAGGAGUCAGACAGAAAUGAAAAUAUAAGCUUUAUUCCUGAUAAAGCUGAUUGGAAAGCAAGACUUAGGUAUACAGACACAAGGCUUUCCUUGGAUCAUUGAUGAGGUUUGGUGCUAGUACUAGAAAAUUCAAAAUAAUAGUGGCAUAAGUGAGGAAGGGACUAUUUCUCACCUAAAAGUCCAGACAUGUCAGAUCAGGGCUGCUAGAGUAGUCCACAUAUACAGCCCCAGACUCCUUUCCAUUUUUUGCAUUUGCUGUGCAUGGUUUCCUUUUCCAAGGUUUUUCUGGGGUCUAGUAUGGACCAGCUCUAGUUAUCAUGUGUACAUUCCAGCCAAGAGGAAAAAAGAGGGGUUAAGGGAAGGAUAUCUCCAUUUAAGGACACAUCAUUUUCCAUUAUGUCCCACGAGCUACAACACAGUCACUUAGCCACAUCUAAGUAGGAAAAGUGAGUAUUCUGGGCUGCCAUGUAGCCAGCUAAAACCUGAGAAUUCUCUGAUAGAAGGGGAGUGAGAGUAACUGCUGGACGACCUGCCGUCUCUGCCACAUUCCUGAGUUAAACUUACACAGCCAGGCAGCAGUAGAAGCUAGACCACCACUGGCGUCCCCUCUAGUGAGGGGCAAGCUGCUUACCACAGAGCAGAGACUCACCUCGAGGGUAAGCUGCUUGGAAGAGGGGAACCCAAAGAGGGCUGAGCCCAACAUGCUCCAUCCCUUCUCAUUCUCUUCCACUGAGAGGUCAGACGUGUUUCUCCUAUACACUUCCUUCCUCACUCACAUCUGGCUUUUCUAAGGGACAAUACAGUGAACUGUCAUAAGGCAGGAACGCAGCACAUGAUUUGGCACCGCAAUAACAAGGUUUCCUGAAUUUCCUGUCUUCUAGCCUUUCUUUGUCUUCACAAUCCACUAGAUUAAGAAAUCUUCCUGAAUAGUCAUAAGAGAGUUCUUCUUCUGGCAGAAUGUCUCUGGCUGCAAAAAGUGCCAACUUUGGUACCAUCGAAUCAAUUCGGACAGGAAUCAUCAACAGAUUUGGCUCACAAGAGUGGUUAAGGAAUCUUCCAAUAUUUCCUAUAGAGAGAACCCUAAAACCUCGCCAGCAUAUUCACAGACAAACCGUCCUUUUGGUAUAAAGUCCAAGGUGCGAAGUCCCCAGCCUUUCUGAUCCGUCUUGAACACCUGGAGGUGGAACUGCAGACCCCGCUGGACCACUCUGUUCCUGCAGCGGUCACUGCACCGACACAGGACAUUGCAUUCGAAAACGGGCUCAGCAUACUUUGCUUCCGAUCCUGCAUCUCGGAGGCAUAAAUCAUCAUCAUAGUUCUUCUCACGACGGAGGCAGGAACAAGUACCAGGGAGGCAGGGGGUUUUGAGACAAAUGCAUCCGGGAAAGGUUAUUUGAGUGGGAUCAAUGUCUGCUCCAGGUCCGGCUACAUGGUCAGGAGUAUACUACAAAAAUAGAAAUACUGUUGCUGUGAAGGAAAAAAUGAGAGGAAACCAUGGAAAGAGCUGACUCCAGUGGCUGGCACAUAAGUGUUCAGAAUGAAUUACACAGGCUGUCUAGUAGGGUGGUGGAAAAAUCACGUUAUGGAGUUAAACUUUCCAGGUUUAAACAUACUCAAACCAAAAUUAUGUCUGGGAAACCAUAUGAUUAUAUUCCUACCUCCAUUACUUAUCCAUCUUGGGGGGGGGGGGGAACCAAGAGCUGACCCAGAAGAUUGCUUUCAUUCAUCAGUAAACACUGCCUUAUUGCCUAUUGUAUGCACAUGCUGGGAUUUAGAAAGAACCACUGAGAAAAACACAAAAGAGGACAUGCAGAACGGGAUUUUUUACCUUUCUGUGGUUGUUGCCAUAACAUACAUUUUACUUUUUCCUGGUAUGUAUUGUAGUGCAAAAUCGAUCACACAAGAGUUGGCAAUAAAUAAAAAACUAACUGA